UAUGCUUUUCCUAAAGAUUAAGCCAUGCAUGUCUUCGAAUAUGAGGUAGCAAUACUCUCUGAAUCUGCGAACGGCUCCGCAAACCAGUUGUAAACCAUAGCAAGGCUUGACACACGCUGCUCUCGGGUGGCGUUGUCUAUAUGGAUAACCCUGGUAAUUCUGAGGCUAAUACAUGUUAAUCAAACCCGCCUCCGGUUUACUGGGGGUGGGAACGUGUGACUCGCUUUACUGGAACCUUCCAUCGUGAAUUAACGCACGUUCAGACCACCGCUGAGUGGGCUUCCUCUAGGGGUUGCCCUGGUGGCCCUUGCAAUGUGCUUCUGACCUAUCAACUAUACAGCAGUGUAGGGGACAUGCUAUGGUAACAACGGGUACAGAGGAUUAGGGUUCGAUCCUGGAGAGUGGGCCUGAGAGAUUGCUCAUACUUCUAAGGAAGGCAGCAGGCGCGCAACGUUCCCCUUGGGCAUCGCUCGAGGGCGUUAUGGGAAAUAUGAAUGGCUGCCUUAUAGGUGGCCAAUUCAAAUGGGUCUGUUGUAAAUAGGCUCUCGAGUAACAAUUAGAGGA
rnacentral:rRNA from 1 species